UACAUGGGGUGCAAACGUUGCUCGGAAUUAUUGGGCGUAAAGCGCGCGUAGGCGGUUACUUAAGUCGGAUGUGAAAGCCCUCGGCUUAACUGAGGAAGUGCACCCGAAACUGAGUAGCUAGAGUACGAAAGAGGGUCGCGGAAUUCCCGGUGUAGAGGUGAAAUUCGUAGAUAUUCGCAAGAACACCAGUGGCGAAGGCGGCUCACUGGCCCGGAACUGACGCUGAGGUGCGAAAGCGUGGGGAGCAAACAGG
rnacentral:rRNA from 1 species